rnacentral:pre_miRNA from 14 species
CUCCCGGAACGGGGUACAGGAACAUGACCUACGAGUUGACAGGCGGUGUAGCCGAGUCUGCCUGUCACUUCUGUAGGCCAAGCUCCUGUAUGUCGCUGUGACUUC